rfam:Triticum aestivum genome assembly, contig: Triticum_aestivum_CS42_TGACv1_scaffold_225631_3B
UAUGUACUCCCUCUAUCUGAAAAUACUUGUCAUCAUAAUGGAUAAAAAGGGAUGUAUUUAGAAUUAGAAUACGUCUAGAUACAUCUCCUUUUAUUCAUUUUGAUGACAAGUAUUUUCGGAUCCAUGGCUUUCUUC